AAAAAUAUUUAUACUGAGCUACUACUAUAUGUCAAUCCCUGUGGGAAUUCAGAGUUGAUUAAGGUAAAUUCAUUGAUGGAUUGAAUUGGGUUGUCCACAAAAAAAGGAAAAUCAAAGGUAACACUCUGAGAAAAUAUUAGUACUUACAAAUCUAUAAGACAAAUAUUAAUGAAACUUCAUGGUCCAAGAUUGUUUGUACUUCUAUUUGCCUGAAAG
rnacentral:lncRNA from 1 species